UACGGAGGGUGCAAGCGUUAAUCGGAAUUACUGGGCGUAAAGCGUGCGUAGGCGGUUCGUUAAGUCUGUUGUGAAAGCCCCGGGCUCAACCUGGGAAUGGCAAUGGAUACUGGCGAGCUAGAGUGUGUCAGAGGAUGGUGGAAUUCCCGGUGUAGCGGUGAAAUGCGUAGAGAUCGGGGAAGAACACCCGUGGCGAAGGCGGCACUCUGGGACGGUACUGACGCUGAGGAGCGAAAGCAUGGGGGAGCGAACAGG
rnacentral:rRNA from 1 species